ACAACUUUUGUCUUAAGAAAUAACAGAAGUACUUGUGGCACCUCAGAGACUAACAAUUUAUUUGAACAUAAGCUGUCGUGGGCUGCGGCCCACUUCUUCUGAUGCAUGGAAUGGAACAUAUAUUGAGGAGAUAUAUACACACAUACAGAGAGCAUGAAAA